CCUACGGGUCGCACCAGUGGGGAAUUUUGGACAAUGGGCGAAAGCCUGAUCCAGCAAUGCUGCGUGUGUGAAGAAGGUCUCCGGAUUGUAAAGCACUUUCGACGGGGACGAUGAUGACGGUACCCGUAGAAGAAGACCCGGCUAACUUCGUGCCAGCAGCCGCGGUAAUACGAAGGGGGCUAGCGUUGCUCGGAAUGACUGGGCGUAAAGGGCGCGUAGGCGGUUUAUGCAGUCAGAUGUGAAAUCCCCGGGCUUAACCUGGGAACUGCAUUUGAGACGCAUAGACUAGAGGUCGAGAGAGGGUUGUGGAAUUCCCAGUGUAGAGGUGAAAUUCGUAGAUAUUGGGAAGAACACCGGUGGCGAAGGCGGCAACCUGGCUCGAUACUGACGCUGAGGUGCGAAAGCGUGGGGAGCAAACAGGAUUAGAUACCCGGGUAGUC
rnacentral:rRNA from 1 species